GGGGUAAUGGCCUACCAAGGCGACGACGGGUAGCCGGCCUGAGAGGGCGACCGGCCACACUGGGACUGAGACACGGCCCAGACUCCUACGGGAGGCAGCAGUGGGGAAUAUUGCACAAUGGGCGAGAGCCUGGUGCAGCGACGCCGCGUGAGGGAUGACGGCCUUCGGGUUGUAAACCUCUUUCAGCAGGGACGAAGCGCAAGUGACGGUACCUGCAGAAGAAGCGCCGGCCAACUACGUGCCAGCAGCCGCGGUAAGACGUAGGGCGCGAGCGUUGUCCGGAUUUAUUGGGCGUAAAGAGCUCGUAGGCGGCUUGUUGCGUCGGCUGUGAAAACCCGCGGCUUAACCGUGGGCUUGCAACUGAUACGGGCAGGCUAGAGUUCGGUAGGGGAGACUGGAAUUCCUGGUGUAGCGGUGAAAUGCGCAGAUAUCAGGAGGAACACCGGUGGCGAAGGCGGGUCUCUGGGCCGAUACUGACGCUGAGGAGCGAAAGCGUGGGGAGCGAACAGGAUUAGAUACCCUGGUAGUCCACGCCGUAAACGUUGGGCAC
rnacentral:rRNA from 1 species